rnacentral:rRNA from 1 species
UACGUAGGGUGCAAGCGUUGUCCGGAAUUAUUGGGCGUAAAGAGCUCGUAGGCGGUCUGUCGCGUCGGCUGUGAAAACUCGGGGCUCAACUCCGAGCUUGCAGUCGAUACGGGCAGGCUAGAGUUCGGCAGGGGAGACUGGAAUUCCUGGUGUAGCGGUGAAAUGCGCAGAUAUCAGGAGGAACACCAGUGGCGAAGGCGGGUCUCUGGGCCGAUACUGACGCUGAGGAGCGAAAGCGUGGGGAGCGAACAGG